GGUCUAUUUUGCCGUUCAAUGAAGAAGCUUUCCAAUCUUGGGGUUUUGACUGCAUCACAGGGGAAGGUUCGCGUAAAUUGCCGAAAAGUUCACUGAAAUCGUAUCCGACCGUUCGCCGCCUCCAGCCUUGCUUUGCACGCACAAACACACCAUUAAAUUGAAGCAAAUCGAGUGAGGAUUUUAGCAAAUUAGCUCCACAAAUUGCGAGGCCUUUCUGGAAGUGAAAUCCAGAGCCGGUGGUGCUGCAAUCAAAUAUUUUGGAAGCCUAAUAAGAGACUGUGCACUCAAAGUUGAAGAUGACAUGGAAAUACAGCUAAGCAACUUUGUGGUGGCCAAAGCCAAAGACGACCCAGUGCAUCAAGAAGCAGCUUCCCAGCAACUCUGUCAAAUCUUCCAACAAGCACAAGAAAAGACUGCAGAUGUGGUGGAGAUUAUCAACUGCGGAAAAGAGUAUAAUAAGAGACAGAAUGAUGAUUUAACUUAUCUCAAGAGAAUAAUAGAUCAUCAUCAUAUGAAGUCUAUACAAUCCAACGCGAGGAGGGUGGCUUAUGAUCGAAUUCAAACCCUAUUCAAAUCUCUCAUUCAAAGUCUUUCUUCUUUGCGAGGAUUUCUUUAUACAUCCAAACUUCGUGCUGCAAUCAGCAAAGAUUUGGAAACCAAAAUAAGAGAUUUAGCUGUAGAUGGCAUCAAGAUACAACUCAGCAGUUUUGUUCUGGCCAAAGACACAGUACAUGAAGAAGAAGCUUUCCAGGAAUUGUGUCAAACCUUGCAACAAGCAGAAGAAAAGAGGGUACUAGAGCUGGUGGAGAUCAUCAACAAAGAAAAGGAGAGACAGAAGACUUGUGAAUGUUGUGAUGAUUUAACUAAUUUCUUGAGAAGAUUAAUGGAUACUCGUUAUCGUAGGUCGUCUUAUAUCACACCCAGCGCAUGGGUGCCUGACGACGUUCAAACACCACUACAAUCUCUCCAUGAAAAUCUCUUUGCUUUGCAAGAAUUUGUACUGAAAUCCAAGUUUGGUGGAUCCGGAGCUGAAAUCCAAAUCAGGCACUUUGUAAUCAAAGCUAAAGAAGACAUCGAAAAACAAUUUAGAAACUUUUGUGUGGCCAAAGAAGAGCAAAGCCUGCCAAAAGAAGCUUCAGAACAACUCAUUCAAACCUUGCAUCAUGUAACAGAAAAUGCAGCACAGCUGUUGAGCACUAUCCACAACACAAGAAGCAAUGAAGCUGCUCAUAAUGAUGAGGCCAAUGAUACUCAGUCUGUGUGCUAUCCAAAGCUUGAGGAGGGCACAAUAAUGGUGGGUCGUCAAAAUGACGUUAGUAUCAUAAAGAAUCGACUCUUCAGUAGCUUUGAAGGUGUAAAAGUAAUCCCAAUUAUUGGGAUGCCAGGCAUAGGGAAGACUACUCUAGCAAGAAAAAUCUUGGAAGAUCAAUCAGUUGCAUUCAAUUUCCAGGUACGAGGAUGGGUUACAGUGACUCAAAAUUACAAUCAGACCAAAGUGCUACGCGACCUUCUCCGGUCAAUUUCACCAAAUCAUGAAAUUAUAAACGAAGUCCAUCUUCGGGAGCAGGUUCGUGAAUGCUUGAAGGAAAAGUCGUAUCUAAUUGUUUUUGAUGACAUAUGGAGCACUUACCAUUGGGAUCGAUUAAAAGACUUAUUUUGCAAUUCUGCAGUGAAUAAUGGAAGUUGCAUAUUGCUGACCACUAGAUUCUAUGGAGUGGCUGACUAUGCUUGCACAAUCAAAGGUACAUAUCAUGUUAUGAGUUUACUAGAUCCAAAUGAAAGUUGGGAUCUAUUCUGUACUAUCUUUCCUCUUCAGAGGUAUAGGGCACCAAGUUUUGGAAAAUUCAGGAGUCACUUGUUCCAUGUUGUGGAAAUAUGUGAAGGAUUGCCAUUGUCAAUUGUGGUAGUUGCAAAGCGCUUAUUUGAAUGCAAAAACAACAUACAACAUGAAUUGAAAAAGAUUGAAAAGGAAAUAGAAUUGUUGGGAAUUCUAGAUUACAAUGCACUCAUUCCCAUGUACAAUCAGUUGCCAGAAGAAUUGAAAGUUUGUUUUUUAUAUCUUGGAGUCUUUCCAAAGCGCAGUGAAAUUCAAGUUAAAACACUUCUUAGGUUAUGGAUUGCUGAAGGAUUUGUGAAGCCAUGGAUGAAUAAUGAGGAGUUUGAAAGGACUGCUUAUUGGUACUUAAAGGACCUCAUUCAUAGAAGUCUUGUGUUAAUAAGCAAACAGACUCUUGAUGGUCAAAUUAAGACUUGUAGGGUGCAUAGUGUCAUGCAUAACAUCUGUUUCAGAGAGGCACAAAAAGAGGGAAUUUUAUGUGCGGUAAAUACUCGGCAACUCCCAAGGUGGUCAUUAAAUGCAUUUGCAAAAUCGUGUCGUUGGUUAAGUUUAUGCCGACAUAGAUUUGACUAUUAUGUGUUGUUUAGUUCAAACAACCCUCGUUCCAUUUUCUUCUUUCAGGAAAACACUGAAAUAUUUGUAUCCUUGAAGCUGUUAAGAGUUUUGGCAUUUGUCCAAUCUUCGUUCCUCCAAAGAGUGCCAAAGCAGCAAUUAGGGGAUUUGAUAUUUUUAAGAUAUUUAUCGGUAACACAAUGGUUUGAAGGCCUGAGUGAUGUUGUGUCAAGUAAUGUGAAUUUGCAGACACUUAUUGUUUCCGGUAGUGAGAGUGAAUCACAAGUUGGAGCACCUAUUGUCCAUUUGCCAUCAACAAUUUGGGAGUCACGACAGUUAAGGCAUCUUGAACUUGGCACUUGCUAUGCUGUCAAUCCUCCAAGCAUGGUAAAAGAGAAUUUGCAAACAUUAUCUUGGGUAGGUCCAACUCAUUGCAGAAAGGAAGUGUAUUCUAGUUUUCCAAACAUGAAAAAACUGAAAAUAUUCUGUAAAGAAGACUCAGAGCCGAGUCACACUGGUGGAUCAUCCAGCAAACGCAUCAUUUUGGAUAAAUUGGGAUAUUUAUAUGGGCUUGAGAGUUUAACAAUUUCAGUUUGUAUUGGCAGUUUUGUAACCCUUCCAGAAAGAUGUAUGUUUCCUUUACGACUAAAGAAGCUGAGGUUGAGUGGAAGUUGUGUUUCUGGGUGGGAUUUAAAGGUAAUUGGGAGGUUGAAAUGUCUUAAGGUGCUGAAGCUGGAAAAUGUGUUCCAUGAAGAAGUGUGGAGAGUAUGUGAAGGAGAAUUUGAUGAAUUAAACUUCUUGUUCCUUGAAGAUAAAAUACUGAAGCGGUUGGAGGCUGUCGAAUAUUCUUUCCCCCUUCUUGAACGCAUAAGUCUAAGAUUUUGUAAUUGUUUGGAAGAGAUUCCAAGCAGUUUUGGAGAAAUUUUCUGCUUGAAGUCAAUAGAUUUGGAUAGGUGUAGCCGUCCUUCCAUUAUCGCUUCUGCAAAGGAUAUUCAAGAGAAGCUAAAGAAGAAUUUUGGAAAAGAAAAUUUUGAGAUCAAAAUCCAAGGGCAGGGGCAAGGGCCUGAAUAUGUAGAAGAUGUUGAGGAGGAGAGUGAAUGUGAUGAAUCAACAUCAUAUCAUUGUUGAUGGAUAGAUGUAUCACUCUGCUCAAAAUCAAUGGUGCUGUAUAUGAUGAACGGCCUAAAGCCAUGGAAAGAAGGAGUCCAUAUAGAAGAGUGAUGAACCAACAACUUGGAGCUCCUACACUUCAUUUGCCCUCCAAAAUUUGGGAGUAACCACACUUGAGGCAUCCCAAUUCCCAGAGUGGUUAAAAUGAAUUUGCAAAUAUUUUCUUGUGUGAGUCCAACUCAUUGUGAAAGGGAAGUGUAUUUCAAUUUUUCAAACAUAAGAAUAUUAUUAUUUUUUUAAUUAAGAAUAUUUGGUGCCUAGUCAUCACAUUGAUAGUUCUUCUAGUAAUCCUAUCAUUUUGUAUAAUUUG